rnacentral:rRNA from 1 species
CCUGAGAAACCCAAAAGAUCGAAUGGGGAGAUUCACCGUCAGCGGCGCUGGCUUCCGUGCGGCUCGCGAUGGUCGGGACUUCGGUCUCGCGCCACGCGGUCGCCGCGGCAUGUCCGGCGUCGUCGGCGUGCACUUCUCCCCUAGUAGGACGUCGCGACCCGUUGGGUGUCGGAUCAAUGGCCGGUCGGUCGUCUGUUGCGUCGUUUUCAACGGCGACGCGGCAGACCGAUCGGUUCAACGUCCGACUGCCCGGCGGUAUAGAACGCUUAAUCACGGUACUGGGCCGCAACUCGAAUGCGUUCAGGCUCGACGGCAGGCUCGUCUCGCUCGGAUUUACGGACCUAGCGCCGUUGCCGGGCGCUUGGCGUGGCCGUUAGUCGCCGAUGUCCUCGGACUGGCUCUUACCGGUCUGCGACGCUACUGCUUUGGGUACUUUC